rnacentral:rRNA from 1 species
CCUACGGGGGGCAGCAGUGAGGAAUAUUGGUCAAUGGACGAGAGUCUGAACCAGCCAAGUAGCGUGAAGGAUGACUGCCCUAUGGGUUGUAAACUUCUUUUAUAUGGGAAUAAAACGUUCCACGUGUGGGAUUUUGUAUGUACCAUAUGAAUAAGGAUCGGCUAACUCCGUGCCAGCAGCCGCGGUAAUACGGAGGAUCCGAGCGUUAUCCGGAUUUAUUGGGUUUAAAGGGAGCGUAGGUGGAUUGUUAAGUCAGUUGUGAAAGUUUGCGGCUCAACCGUGAAAUUGCAGUUGAAACUGGCAGUCUUGAGUACAGUAGAGGUGGGCGGAAUUCGUGGUGUAGCGGUGAAAUGCUUAGAUAUCACGAAGAACUCCGAUUGCGAAGGCAGUUCACUGGACUGCAACUGACACUGAGGCUCGAAAGUGUGGGUAUCAAACAGGAUUAGAUACCCCGGUAGUC